AUUGAACGCUGGCGGCAUGCUUUACACAUGCCAGUCGAACGGCAGCGCGGGCUUCUUCCUGGCGGCGAGUGGCGAACGGGUGAGUAAUACAUCGGAACGUGCCCAGUAGUGGGGGCUAGCUCGGCGACAGCCGGCUUAAUACCGCAUACGACCUUAUGGUGAAAGCGGUGGAUCUUUGGACCUCGCCCUAUUUGCUCUGCCGAUGGCAGAUUAGCUAGUUGGUUGGGUAAAGGCCUACCAAGGCGACGAUCUGUAGCUGGUCUGAGAGGACGACCUGCCACACUGGGACUGAGACACGGCCCAGACUCCUACGGGAGGCAGCAGUGGGGAAUUUUGGACAAUGGGCGAAAGCCUGAUGCAGCAAUGCCGCGUGUGUGAUGAAGGCCUUCGGGUUGUAAAGCACUGUUGGCGGGAAAGAAAAGGAGUGUGCGAAUACAACGGUGCGAUGACGGUACCCGCAGAAUAAGCACCGGCUAACUACGUG
rnacentral:rRNA from 1 species